CACAACAGUCCCGCAUGGCUCGCACGGGGAUGCUCUUCAUCGAGUGUCCCGCGAUGGCCGGCAGAGUUUACUUUGAAAAAAUUAGAGUGCUCAAAGCAGGCUACACUGACGGCCUGAAUGCCUAUGCAUGGAAUAAUGGAAUAGGACCUCGGUUCUAUUUUGUCGGUUUUCUGAACCCGAGGUAAUGACUAAUAGGAACAGGCGGGGGCAUUCGUAUUGCGACGCUAGAGGUGAAAUUCUUGGACCGUCGCAAGACGAACUACUGCGAAAGCAUUUGCCAAGGAUGUUUUCAUUAAUCAAGAACGAAAGUUAGAGGUUCGAAGGCGAUCAGAUACCGCCCUAGUUCUAACCAUAAACGAUGCUGACCAGCGAUCCGCCGGCGUUAUUCCCAUGACCCGGCGGGCAGCUUCCGGGAAACCAAAGUCUUUGGGUUCCGGGGGAAGUAUGGUUGCAAAGCUGAAACUUAAAGGAAUUGACGGAAGGGCACCACCAGGAGUGGAGCCUGCGGCUUAAUUUGACUCAACACGGGGAACCUCACCAGGCCCANACACCGGAAGGAUUGACAGAUUGANAGCUCUUUCUCNAUUCNGUGGGUGGUGGUGCAUGGNCNUUCUUANUUGGUGGA
rnacentral:rRNA from 1 species